rnacentral:rRNA from 1 species
ACGUAGGUGGCAAGCGUUGUCCGGAAUUACUGGGUGUAAAGGGAGCGCAGGCGGGACGGCAAGUUGGGUGUGAAAUCUAUGGGCUCAACCCAUAGCGUGCAUUCAAAACUAGCUGUUCUUGAGUGAUGGAGAGGCAGGCGGAAUUCCCGGUGUAGCGGUGGAAUGCGUAGAUAUCGGGAGGAACACCAGUGGCGAAGGCGGCCUGCUGGACAUUUACUGACGCUGAGGCUCGAAAGUGUGGGGAGCAAACAGGAUUAGAUA